GAUGAACGCUGGCGGCGUGCCUAAUACAUGCAAGUCGAGCGAAUGGAUUAAGAGCUUGCUCUUAUGAAGUUAGCGGCGGACGGGUGAGUAACACGUGGGUAACCUGCCCAUAAGACUGGGAUAACUCCGGGAAACCGGGGCUAAUACCGGAUAACAUUUUGAACCGCAUGGUUCGAAAUUGAAAGGCGGCUUCGGCUGUCACUUAUGGAUGGACCCGCGUCGCAUUGGCUAGUUGGUGAGGUAACGGCUCACCAAGGCAACGAUGCGUAGCCGAGCGGGGAGGGUGAUCGGCCAGACUGGGACUGAGACACGGCCCAGACUCCUACGGGAGGCAGCAGUAGGGAAUCUUCCGCAAUGGACGAAAGUCUGACGGAGCAACGCCGCGUGAGUGUUGAAGGCUUUCGGGUCGUAAAACUCUGUUGUUAGGGAAGAACAAGUGCUAGUUGAAUAAGCUGGCACCUUGACGGUACCUAACCAGAAAGCCACGGCUAACUACGUGCCAGCCGCCGCGGUAA
rnacentral:rRNA from 1 species